rnacentral:tRNA from 1 species
GGUGGUAGAGUAGCUUUACGGCUAUUAUACCGCCUUGCCAUGGCGAAGAUGCCGGUUCGAUUCCGGUUACCUGCUCCA